rnacentral:rRNA from 1 species
GUUAGCGGCGGACGGGUGAGUAACACGUGGGUAACCUGCCUGUAAGAUGGGGAUAACUCCGGGAAACCGGAGCUAAUACCGAAUAACACUUUCGCUCGCAUGAGCGGAUGUUAAAAGACGGUUUCGGCUGUCACUUACAGAUGGACCCGCGGCGCAUUAGCUAGUUGGUGAGGUAACGGCUCACCAAGGCGACGAUGCGUAGCCGACCUGAGAGGGUGAUCGGCCACACUGGGACUGAGACACGGCCCAGACUCCUACGGGAGGCAGC